rnacentral:rRNA from 1 species
AUACGUAGGUGGCGAGCGUUAUCCGGAAUUACUGGGUGUAAAGGGUGUGUAGGCGGGACUGCAAGUCAGAUGUGAAAAAGUCGGGCUCAACCCGGCUACUGCAUUUGAAACUGUGGUUCUUGGGGGUCGGAGAGGUAAACGGAAUUCCCAGGGUAGCGGUGAAAUGCGUAGAUAUUGGGAGGAACACCAGUGGCGAAGGCGGUUUACUGGACGACAACUGACGCUGAGACACGAAAGCGUGGGAGCAAACAGGAUUAGAUACCCUGGUAGUCCACGCCCUAAACGAUGAAUGCUAGGUGUAGGCCCUUUCGGGGGUCUGUGCCGCAGCUAACGCAAUAAGCAUUCCACCUGGGGAGUACGGCCGCAAGGUUGAAACUCAAAUGAAUUGACGGGG